GUGGGGAAUCUUGGUCAAUGGGCGCAAGCCUGAACCAGCGAUGCCGCGUGAGUGAUGAAGGCCUUCGGGUUGUAAAGCUCUGUGGGGCGGGACGAAAAAGCAGGUUCUAACAGGACCUGAAUUGACGGUACCGCCUUAGCAAGCACCGGCUAACUCUGUGCCAGCAGCCGCGGUAAGACAGAGGGUGCAAACGUUGCUCGGAAUCACUGGGCGUAAAGGGCGUGUAGGCGGGAAGGAAAGUCGGGCGUGAAAUCCCUGGGCUCAACCCAGGAACUGCACUCGAAACUUCUUUUCUUGAGUGCCGGAGAGGAAAGCGGAAUUCCUGGUGUAGAGGUGAAAUUCGUAGAUAUCAGGAGGAACACCAGUGGCGAAGGCGGCUUUCUGGACGGUAACUGACGCUGAGACGCGAAAGCGUGGGGAGCAAACAGGAUUAGAUACCCGAGUAGUCC
rnacentral:rRNA from 1 species